rnacentral:rRNA from 1 species
AACGAACGCUGGCGGCAUGCCUAACACAUGCAAGUCGAACGAGACCUUCGUGUCUAGUGGCGCACGGGUGCGUAACGCGUGGGAACCUGCCCUUAGGUUCGGAAUAACUCCCCGAAAGGGGUGCUAAUACCGGUUAAUGUCUUCGGACCAAAGAUUUAUCGCCUUUGGAUGGGCCCGCGUUGGAUUAGCUAGUUGGUAGGGUAAAAGCCUACCAAGGCGACGAUCCAUAGCUGGUCUGAGAGGAGGAUCAGCCACACUGGGACUGAGACACGGCCCAGACUCCUACGGGAGGCAGCAGUGGGGAAUAUUGGACAAGGGGCGAAAGCCUGAUCCAGCAAUGCCGCGUGAGUGAUGAAGGCCUUAGGGUUGUAAAGCUCUUUUACCCGAGAUGAUAAUGACAGUACCGGGAGAAUAAGCACCGGCUAACUCCGUG